CGGGGAGAGUGACAGCUCCCCCUCCCCGUCUGGCAGUGACAGAUGACCUUGCAGGGACAGCAGCCCUGGGCCUCCCCACAGACAUGAGCUGAUAUGAUGGGCUAGACUGGACAUGCCGCGCUGGGAACGUAGGAGCAAAAUUUAGACUGAAAGAAACAUUUGACUCCAACAAAUAGCUGCUUGUUUGCAAAGACCUUCAUAGAUUAUUAAACCAAA
rnacentral:lncRNA from 1 species